CCUACGGGUGGGCUGCAGUGAGGAAGAUUGGGCAAUGGGAGGAAUCCUGAACCAGCCAUGCCGCGUGCAGGACGACGGCUCUAAGAGUUGGAAACUGCUUUUGGACAGGGGGAAAAGGCGCGACGAGUAGGGUUUUGAAAGUACGGUACGAAGAAGGAGCGGCUAACUCCGUGCCAGCAGCCGCGGUAAUACGGAGGAUCCGAGCGUUAUCCGGAUUCCUUGGGUUGAAAGGGUGCGUAGGUUGUUUUAUAAGUUAGCGGUGAAAUACCGAUGCGCCACAUCGGGGCUGCCGCUAAUACUGUAGGACUAGCGGUCGGAUGCAGCAGGCGGAAUGUGUAGUGUAGCGGUGCAAUGCAUCGCUAUUACAC
rnacentral:rRNA from 1 species